rnacentral:rRNA from 1 species
GGAUCAUUAAAGAGUUUAAUAAAACUCCUAAACCCCUGUGAACUUACUGGUGUUUGGCUCGCCAGAUAUAGUCUGGUCCGUAAGCAAAUCGACUGCCUGCCUGUGUAACAGGCAGGUAAGCUUUUGUCGCGGGGUCCCGGAUCAACCCGGGCUAGAUAGCCACUUAACUAUAUACUUUUUAUAAAAUCUGUGAACUUACUAGGUUGGAUUCUCGCCAGAGAUAGUCUGGUUUCUGCUUCGCGGAUCGCCUACCCGUGACACCUGUCACAGGCAGGUAUGCUUCUGCCGCGGGUCCGCAUGUAAAUCGUCUGUUUCACAAGGGACGGCGAUUUACCUGUGGAAGAGGUCCGCUAACUAUAUUCUUAGUAUAGUUUGUUCACUAGAUCAAACAUUCUGAAUAAAAACUUAAACUAGUUAAAACUUUCAACAACGGAUCUCUUGGUUCUGGCAUCGAUGAAGAACGCAGCGAAAUGCGAUAAGUAAUGUGAAUUGCAGAAUUCAGUGAAUCAUCGAAUCUUUGAACGCACAUUGCGCCCAUUAGUAUUCUAGUGGGCAUGCCUGUUCGAGCGUCAUUUCAACCCUUAAGCCCCUGUUGCUUAGCGUUGGGAGCCUACAGCCUGCUGUAGCUCCUUAAAGGUAGUGGCGGAGUCGGUUCACACUCUAGACGUAGUAAAAUCUUUAUCUCGCCUAUGGAUGAGCCGGCGCCUUGCCGUAAAACCCCUAAUCUUUCACAAGGUUGACCUCGGAUCAGGUAGGAAUACCCGCUGAACUUAAGCAUAUCAAUAAGCGGAGGAAAAGAAACCAACAGGGAUUGCCCUAGUAACGGCGAGUGAAGCGGCAACAGCUCAAAUUUGAAAUCUGGCCUUCGGGUCCGAGUUGUAAUUUGCAGAGGAUGCUUUGGGCGCGGUGCCUUCCGAGUUCCCUGGAACGGGACGCCUUAGAGGGUGAGAGCCCCGUACGGUUGGACACCAAGCCUCUGUAAAGCUCCUUCGACGAGUCGAGUAGUUUGGGAAUGCUGCUCUAAAUGGGAGGUAAAUUUCUUCUAAAGCUAAAUAUUGGCCAGAGACCGAUAGCGCACAAGUAGAGUGAUCGAAAGAUGAAAAGCACUUUGAAAAGAGGGUUAAAUAGCACGUGAAAUUGUUGAAAGGGAAGCGUUUACGACCAGACCUUUUCGCAGCGGAUCAUCCGGUGUUCUCACCGGUGCACUUCGCUGGGUUGAGGCCAGCAUCGGUUUCCGCAGGGGGAUAAAAGCCUGGGGAACGUAGCUCCCUCGGGAGUGUUAUAGCCCCUCGCAUAAUACCCUUGCGGGGACCGAGGACCGCGCU